AAGGUAACAUAACUUAAAUCAUAAUUAUAUUAUUAUAUAUAAUUUCUAAUUCUUUUGUUUUAAGUUUGAAUUGGAUAUCGUUAUUCUUGAAAUCAUGAAAGCUGUUUACGGUAUCCUGAUAAUACUUCUCUUUUGUUCGAUGUUCGAUUUGAGUCAACAAACUUUUAUAAAUCAUAAAUGUAAAUCGUCAUCUGCAUGCUUGCCAGCAUGUAAAGCAGCAAUAGGAAAAGCAUCGGGAAAAUGUAUAAAUUCAACAUGCAAAUGUUAUUAUUAGUGCAGCAUGUUUUCACAAAGAAAUUGUCACAUCUCAUAUAAAUUACUAUAAUUUUAAUUUUUUGCUGAUAAUAAAGUUUAAUGGUGUAA